rnacentral:rRNA from 1 species
UACGGAGGAUGCAAGCGUUAUCCGGAUUCAUUGGGUUUAAAGGGUGCGCAGGCGGGCUUGUAAGUCAGUGGUGAAAUACUGCCGCUUAACGGUAGAAUUGCCAUUGAUACUGCAGGUCUUGAGUAUGGUUGAGGUAGGCGGAAUGUGCAGUGUAGCGGUGAAAUGCAUAGAGAUUGCACAGAACACCGAUUGCGGAGGCAGCUUACUAAGCCAUAACUGACGCUGAGGCACGAAAGCGUGGGGAGCGAACAGGAUUAGAUACCCGCGUAGU